rnacentral:rRNA from 1 species
UACGGGGGGGGCAAGCGUUGUUCGGAAUUACUGGGCGUAAAGGGCUCGUAGGCGGCCAACUAAGUCGGACGUGAAAUCCCUCGGCUCAACCGAGGAAGUGCGCCCGAAACUGCAGAGCUUGAGUACCGGAGAGGAUGGCGGAAUUCCCCAAGUAGAGGUGAAAUUCGUAGAUAUGGGGAGGAACACCGGUGGCGAAGGCGGCCAUCUGGACGGAUACUGACGCUGAGACGCGAAAGCGUGGGGAGCAAACAGG